AUUCGAAAUAGUCAUUUUAUGGAAAAUAAAAUUUAGAAAUUUGAUUAAUGUUAGAAUAUGCUAAAUUUUGUCAAACUUCUAAUGGCACUAACUCAUAUUUCAGGAUGAGAUAGGUUUAUUUCCAGUUAUGGUUGGAAAGAUCUUGGAAUAACCUUUCUAUUGCAACCAAGUCUGCAUAAUUUCAAGUAAAUACGAGUAAGUUAUGCCCUUUGGAAUUUGGUUGUUUGAAUAAUGAAAUGUCUAAUAGGGAUUUUAGAGGGGUAGUUUGGGCUUUUCCUUGUCGUAUUAUUUUAAUUAUUCUAUAUAUUAUGAAUUUAUUUAGUUUAUGCAUUAGAAAAACAAACAUAGGGUUUUCGGAGAAAGCAUCACUAGCUUACGCUCUGAUCCGCGUUGCAUGGGCCACGGGAAAUACCAUGUGAAUCAACAAGAACCACAUUGCAAGGCUAAAUACUCUUGGGUGACAGAUAGCGAAGUAGUACCAUGUGGGAAGGGUGAAAAGAACCCCCAUUAAGGAGUGACAUAAAACAUGAAACCGUAAGUUCCCAAGCAGUGGGACGAACCAGGGCUCUGACCGCGUGCCUGUUGAAGAAUAAGUCGACGACUCAUAGGUAGUAUAUUGGUUAAGGUAACCCACCGGAGCCGUAGCGAAAGCGAGUCUUCAUAAGGCAAUGUUCACUACUUAUAGACCUGAACGUGGGCGAUCUAUCCAUGACGAGGAUGAAUCUUGGGUGAAACUAAGUGGAGGUAUGAACCAACUGAUAUUGAAGAAUCAGCGGAUUAGUUGUGUUUAAAGGUGAAUUGCAACUUGAACCCAGAGCUAGCUGGUUCUCCCAUAAAGGUGUUCAGGCUUUAUAGUUGACUGGACAUCUAUAGGUAAAGCACUGUUUUGGUGUGGCCAGCGAGUGCGGUACCAAAUCCAGGAAAAAUGUGAAUACUAGAUGUGACCUCAAAUAACACGGUUGAGGUCGUCUAGAAAAAUGAUGGGGGAUAAUCUUCAUCAUCUAGAGGCUAACAACAAAGAUCACUAGGUAAGGACACUAAAUGACUUCUUAGUGAUAAAGGAGGUAGAGAGGCAGAGACAGCUAGAAGGUUUGCUAGAAAGAGUGUGUAAUAACUCACUGAUCUAGUGUUCUUGCGCUGAAGAUGAACUGGGCCAAAAGGUCUGCCGAAGCUGUGGAUGUAAAAAUACGUCGUUAGGGUAGCACUCCCCCUUAGAUAGAAUCCUCCCCGCGAUCGAUGAGACGAAGCCGAAGCGAGAAUUUUUACUUGGGUAACGCAAAUAUUGGUGAGAAUCCAAUGCCCCAAAAAGCUAAGGAUAUCUCCGCAUGGUUCAUCCACAGAGGGUGAUCCUGGGCCUAAGAUAAGGCCGAAAGACAUAGUCGAUGGAGAACAUGUGAAUAUUACUAUACUACCGUUUUUCGUCUUGAGGGACGGAGGAGAGAAGGUUAUCCAAAAGAUGGUUAUCGGUUCAAGAACGUAAGGUGUCCUUGAUUUUUGAGAGUAAGAAGAGGUACAAAAUAUGCGUAGAGCCAAUAUUCGAAUACCAGGCGCUACGACACUAAAGUAACCCUUGUCAUACUGCUUGUAAAAUAUGAAACGACGUUAAGCAAGAAGGUACCUGUACCCAAAAUCGUCACAGUUUUGUAGGUAGAGAAAACCUCAGGGCAUGAGACAACUCUCUCUAAGGAACUCAGAAAAAUAUUCACGUAACUCAGGGAGAAAGGGUGCCUCCUAACAAUGGGGGUUGUAGUGACUUGGCCCGAGCGAAUGUUUACCAAAACUACAUGUCUCCGCAAAGUUGAAAAACAAUGUAUGGGGUUGUCACCUGCCGAGUGGCGGAUGGUGAAGAAUGUUGGUGACGUUAUAAAAUGGGAGUCAGCGAAUAAAGUCACGGUGAAAGGCGACCGUAACUAUAAUGGUCCUAAGAUAGAUAAUUUCCUUGUCAGGUUAGUUCAAACUUGCACGAAAGGUGUAAUAAUAUAGUCAUUGUCUAGGAGAGACGCUCGGUGAGAUAGCACUCAGGAAGGGAUAGAAUUCUAACCUCAUGUAAGUUCCUACGGGCCGAGGGACAGUCUCAAGUAGACACUUUCUACGAAGCAUUGGUCUCCUAAAAGGUAACGGAGGCAUGCAAAGGUUUUCUCGGGCCGGACAAUGAUUGGACCUCGAGUGCAAAUGCAGAAGGGAUCUUGGCUGCAAGACCCACACAUCGAGCGAGGACAAAAGUCGUCUUUAGUGAUCAAACAGUGCCAAGUGGAAGGUCCGUCUCUUAACGAAUAAAAGUUACUCUAGGGAUAACAAGCUGAUCUUCCCCAAUAACUCACAUCGACGGGAAGUUUUGGCACCUCAAUGUCGUCUCUUCGCCACCUGGGGUUGUAGUAUGUUGAAAGGGUUGGGCUGUUUUCCCACUAAAGAAGUACAUGAGCUGGGUUAAAAAUGUUAUGAGACAGGUUGGUCCAUAUCUAAUGUGGGCGUUAGAGCAUCGAGAGGACCUUUUCCUAGUACGAGAGGACAGAGAAGGAGGCACUUAUGGUGUACCAGGUAUUCUUCUUACGUAAAAUCUGGGUAGACAAAUUCAAAACGAAUAAUUGUUGAAAGCAUCUAAGUAUUAAGGCCACCCCAAAAUGAGUGUUCUCUUAUUCCGACAUCCGAGAGCUUCCUGUAGCAUAACAAAGAUAGCGAAGGGUUCUCUGCCCUUGCGGGAAUGGACGGACAAAAGUUUUCUUGAGAAUUCAAGAGAAGGUCACAGCGAGACGAGUCGUUUAUCAUUAAGAUAGGUGUCAACUGGAAGUGAAGUGA
rnacentral:rRNA from 1 species